rnacentral:rRNA from 1 species
AGGGUUCGAUCAUGGCUCAGAACGAACGCUGGCGGCAUGCCUCAUACAUGCAAGUCGAACGAGAUCUUCGGAUCUAGUGGCGCACGGGUGAGUAACAUGUGGGAAUCUACCUAAAGGUUCGGAAUAACUGCGGGAAACUGUAGCUAAUACCGGAUGUGUCUGCAAAGAGAAAGAUUUAUCGCCUUUAGAUGAGCCCGCACUAGAUUAGCUAGUUGGUGAGGUAAUUGCUCCACCAAGGCUACGAUCUAUAGCUGAUUUGAGAGGAUGAUCAGCCACACUGGGACUGAGACACGGCCCAGACUCCUACGGGAGGCAGCAGUAGGGAAUAUUGGACAAUGGGGGAAACCCUGAUCCAGCAAUGCCGCGUGAGUGAAGAAGGCCCUCGGGUUGUAAAACUCUUUCAUCAAUGAUGAUAAUGACAUUAGUUGAAGAAGAAGCUCCGGCUAACUUCGUGCCAGCAGCCGCGGUAAUAC